UCCAGGCUGGUCUCUAACUCCAUAUGUAGCUGAGAAUGACCGAGCUUUGGAUAUGCCUGCCUCUACCCUCCUGGGUGCUGGGAUGACACGUGUGUACCACCUGUCCAGUUUUAUUUAGAACCCAGGGCUUCCCUCAUAUCUGCACAGCAGCUUUUUACCGACGGAGUCACUCCCAGUCUGCAAGAGGAACUUAACAAGAACCCACUUGUUCUGGGUACUGCCUGUUGGAUGAGAUAAAUGGACUUAAAGUGGAUCACAGGUCAGUGGGAGAGACGAACCGUAACCCAAGAAACAGAUCUGGAAAAGGAUAGGCACGGAGAAGAAGGCUUUAACAGGAAGAAGACAAGGUGGAGUGAACCGGGUUGGGCCAAGAAAGCUGUUGCUUCAGACUACUGAAAGGUCAGGAAAGGACAUUUGAGCUGAGACCUGAAGGCUGUCAAGAAGCUAAACUUUCUGGGAAAGGUCAGCAGGGAGCAAGACUUGGUGGGACAGAGCCCAGGAGGCAAGACAGGCCAGAGGCUGUAGCAGGAUUUUCCCUGUCCAAUCACAUAAGUGCAGAGAAGGUCUGUGAUUGGACAGGGAAAAGGAGGCGGAGCUAGGAAUUGGGGAGCCAGGGAGAGUCAGAGGAGGGCAGAGAAGAACCAAGACGGCACAGGUAUACCUGUGUGGCAUCUACCAGCCACAAGUAGCUAUGAAUAGUAAGGUUAGAGAUGUGCAGUCCCAUGCAGCCAUGCAAAAAGGGUGUGGUGUGUGUGCCGGUAACCCUAGCCCUGGGCACGGCUAGUCUAUCAGUCUGCAAAGGUGAGCUCCGGCUUCACUGAGAUAUGGUGAGAUAGAUGGCUCAGUGGCUAAGGGCCUGGCAUCCUGAGUCCUAUUGCCAGGUCCCCCAGGGUGGAAGGAGAGAGCCAACUCUACAAACUGUCCCUGGCCUCCGUAAGUACGCUGUUGUCCCUGUGCGCACGUACGCCACAAACACACACACACCAGAUAAAUGUAGUAAGAGUUUAUUUUUUAAGACUGGAGCUAGAGAGAGGAAGAACCUGGAAUGUUAGAAUCCUGUUACUGCUCACACUGCAAUGCCUGCAGCCCUUCUCUCCUCUGAGGCGUCCACAACGGGAGGGGCAGGCUAGACACCCCACUUAAUAAGAGAGCUACAAGGAGAGACUCUGCCAUAUGGGCCUGAAACCACUUUCCACGUCUCUGUCUGUGGGCUGGGGCCUCCUCUGAGCCCACUAUCUCACAUCGGCUUGGCUGAGAAAGGAGUUUCCUUGGGAUUCACUGGCUUUUCAAUGAGCUCCAGGCUCUGUAGGAGAUGCUGAGACCCUGUCUCAAAAAAUAAGGUGGAAAUAUAUUGAGAAAGAAACACAACAUCGACCUUGGACACCUACACACAGAAACACACACACACACACACACACACACACACACACAUAUGCACGCACACACACACACACACACACACACACACACACACACACACGCACAGAGAGAUGCCUUUUUAAAAAAUUUGCCAAUCAUAGUUGCUAUCCUCGGUGUGACCACUAGAGAGCAGGACUGUCCCAUGCCUUGUGCUCUUGCAAAGAGUGAAAGGGGGGAAGUGGAUGUGGAAAUCCCAAAGACUUCACAGGGUCGAGACGUGAGGGUUAGGUCACUUUCACUUGCGCUUUUGGUAAAGGCUUCACAGAAUAAAAAUGUAUGCCGGUAGUGGGAAGGGGCUAAACCGCCGGAUCUCUGAACCAUCGUAUCUAUCCCCUCCGCUCAACUGCUUCUGUCUUUAGGCUUUUAUUUCUAUUAUCUGGACACUCUGCUAAGUUCCAAUCAUUGACUGUGACAUGGGCCAGGAAAACAUGGCAAUUGAAGAGGACACACAAAAAAGAAAGAAACUGCUCACCCCGAGACUUCAUGAUGAAGAUUUUAAAAUGUGGACAUAAUGGAUACAGUCAAAAAUUACCUACAGAGGGAAAAAAAGUGUGUUUUCAUAACGAUAUUUCAAACUAAGAUGUUAAAAAACAAAUUUAAAAACAAAAUGUCGGUGCAUGGCCGUGCACCCUGCAAUCACAGCCCGCAGAGGCAGAGGCAGAGGCAGAGGCAGAGGCAGAGGCAGAGGCAGAGGCAGAGGCAGAGGCAGAGGCAGAGGCAGAGGCAGAGGCAGAGGCAGAGGCAGGCAAUCUUCCCGAGUUUGAGGGCAGCGCGAUCCUCAUAGCAAGUUCUAAGCCAGCCAGGGCUACAGAAGGAGUACCCGUGUCAAAACCAAAUUGAAAAGAAUGAGGAACAAGGAAACGGUGCUUACUUAGGGUCAAAAUGUCUAUAAUCUUGAAUUUUACCAUAUCAGCCUCCUCUCAGCCCUAAAUCUGAAUAUACUUCAUAAAACUCUUACAGCUUUAUUUACAAAUGGAAAUUUAUUAAGUAAACCAGAUAAUAUAUUGCACGUACUUUUAAAGUGUUAUUUAAAAUUUAAGCGUUCCUUAAUCUUUAAACCAUAUUAUAAAUCAUAACCUUUGAGAAAUAUAACUUAGAAAGCCACAAGAUCAUUUAUAUAUGUAUAGACAUAUACACAUGCAUUUACAUAUAUAUGCAUAUAUGCACUGAUAUAUCUAUAUGUAUUGAAGACACAUCUAAAUGAGACACCCCGUAGAUGCCCACACCUGUGUCUUGGGAUAGUGUAAUGUCUUUUUCCUAUAUAACUUUCUGCCAGGUGGUGGUGUAUGCUUUUUAACCCAGCACUCAGAAGGCAGAGGCGGGUGAUUUCUAGGUCAGCUUACACUGAAAAGUGAAUUCUAGGACAGCAGAACUGCUACACAGAGAAACACUGUCUCCAAAAACAUAAUAAAAAAAUGAAAACAAAACCAAACAACAAUGGAAUACUAAAAACCACUGUGGGCUGGGGAGACAGCGCAGUGGGUAACAGUGCCUGCCAUGGCAACCUGAGGACCUGGGGGAGAAGAAGUUGCCUCAACUUGUCUUCUCACCUCCACAUUCAACACGCACCUUCCUGCAUAAAGUGAAUACACUGUAACAAAAACUGAAACAGCUCCCUGCAAACCGCUGGGCUGGAGAGAUGGCACAGUGGGGGAGAUUGGGCCGAGGUCAGCAGAAAGCAAUGUUGGCAAAGAGAACACAGGGUACUUCAGGCACUGAUAACCACGGUCCUUCAAGGGAGAAAGCCAGAUUCUCAGGAACUUAACCCUUAAGCCUUUCCAGGCCAGGGGCCCCAGCCCCAGCGUGACCUUGCCUAGACUGCCUCCAUAAGAACACAGGACUUUACCCUUUCAUGAAGGCCCCUGAGAAAGCCUUGGGUCAGCUUGACUUUCAGCACAGCGGCACUGCCCACAACUGGGCCCUCCAAUAUCAGUCAUCAAUCAACAAAACACAUCCUAGGCUAGCCCACAGGCCAAACUGUGGGGAUAUCUUCUCAGUUGAUGUUCCGUCUUCUCAAGUGACUCUUGCUCUUGUUCAAGUUGCCAUAAAAUUAGCUAGCACAGAGACCUUCCCAGGCAAAAAUGUAUUGGUGGCACAUGUCUUCAGUCCUAGCACUUGGGAAUGCCACACCGACCCCAGUAAAAUCUGCGUGACAAGUUCCACAGACUGAGGCAUUAGACUUCAAAAGAAGGAGGGUUCCUGGAACAGGUUGUGGAACUCUCAGCCAGAGCAAACAUAUUGAGCCGUAGUUCUCGUGGCAAUUUUUCUGUUUUGUUCUCUUUCAUUCCUUUUCUUAGUUACAGGUUCCUGGUAGCUUAGAACAUGAUCUUAAGCGAGAAUAAUGGGUACGAAACCAUCCCUUGAGAUGGGGUCACUAACAUGACCUUGUCUCCAGGGAAACCAACGCUUUACUUUUCAACUCAUUUACAAAAUUAUUGUGAUAGUUAAAAACUUUCCCAGCAAUAAAAUUUCAUAUGGCUACACAUGUGUCAUUGGAGGUGGGUUUUGGUAUAUGGUAAAGAAAGUCUUAAUUAGAAAGAAUUAAAGGAGUUUAAAUUUAUGCUUUGAAGAUUUAUAAAAAAAUCAGACAUUAGAUCUUAAACAAUAAUUAAUCAUAGGGGCUGGAAAGUUAGCUCAGUGGUUAAGAGCACUGACCAUAAAGAUUUAUUAACCUGCUCUUGGGAAUAUGCCACUAGCCUUGGAUGACCACCCUAUUGAAUAUAUACUUUUAGGACUGUUAUAUUUUGAUGGUGAUGUUACAUGUUCUGUUUGUGAUUCACUAAACAUGUAGUUUUAGAGUCGUAAUGCGCAGAUAAUUUUUGUAUUUUACUGUGCCAAAUGAUUCUUGUUCGUAUUUGUGAUUGUUUUGCUGGAUAUGUUUCUAAGAGUUGUCAUGUUUGGUUUAAUGUAUAAAAUCCCCUGCUUGAGAGCUGCAAAAAUACAUUCAGAUUCAAAAUGA